AGUAGGGAGUGAUUUGGGACGCGGCCAACGUCGCGUUUACUCUUCCGAGCUCCCGAGAUGUGGAGUGUAACGUGGAGCCUUUGGUUGCCUCUAGUUUUCGGCUCGGUGUUCGGUCAAAGACAGCGAUGGCCGCCGUUCCUGUGUGGUGGAAACGCUACAGGAAGUUCAGGUCUCAUUGGGAGUCAGGGAUACCCCGGGGUUUACCCCGCCAACACCAAAUGCGUGUGGAGAAUAACGGUGCCUCAGGGCAAAGUGGUGUCCCUGACCUUCCGCUCC